rnacentral:rRNA from 1 species
GUGCCAGCCGCCGCGGUAAUACCGGCAGCCCGAGUGAUGGCCGAUCUUAUUGGGCCUAAAGCGUCCGUAGCUGGCUGCGCAAGUCCGUCGGGAAAUCCACUCGCCCAACGAGUGGGCGUCCGACGGAAACUGCACAGCUUGGGACCGGAAGGCUCGAAGGGUACGUUCGGGGUAGGAGUGAAAUCCCGUAAUCCCGAACGGACCACCGAUGGCGAAAGCAUCUCGAGAAAACGGAUCCGACAGUGAGGGACGAAAGCUAGGGUCUCGAACCGGAUUAGAAACCCCAGUAGUCC